rnacentral:rRNA from 1 species
GACUCUCGGCAACGGAUAUCUCGGCUCUCGCAUCGAUGAAGAACGUAGCGAAAUGCGAUACCUGGUGUGAAUUGCAGAAUCCCGCGAACCAUCGAGUCUUUG